GGCCUGCCCCGCGCCCCUGGAGCUGUCAGCGGGUGUCCUGGGAGCUCCAGAGGCCCGAUUUGGUAACUGCGCUUUCCUGCAACCUAGUCUCAGGAAGGGAGCAGGAAGUGUGUGACCCAGAAAGUUCCGCCAUCUAGGUGGCCUCCACCAUUUCAGCCAGCCGCCGCCUCUGUUGCCUGAUUUCACCCCUUGUGGUUCCUUCCUAGACUCAUCAGCUCUAAGACCACUGCAGAUCUCACUCUGUCACCCAGGCUGGAGUGCUGUGGCACAAUCUUGGCUCACUGCAACCUCCACUUCCCAGGCUCAAGUGAUCCUCCCACCUCAGCCUCCCGAAUAGCUGGGACCACAGGGUCUUGCUUCAUCAUCCAAGCUGGAGUGCAGUGGCACGAUCAUGGCUUAUUGUAACUUGGAACUCCUGGGCUCAAGCGACCCUCCUGCUUCAGCCUCCCAAAGUGCUGGUAUUAGAGGUGUGAGCCACCUCGCCCAGCUUCUUCUACAACUAUUAACUGAAAUUCUUCUGUAAAUAAUUUUCCCUUACCAACUAGGUCUUUUUGGUAUCCUAAAAUAACCAUUUGUACAUGAUGAGUAGAAUAAAUGUUUAAUUCUUUUGUGAA